CCUUUUAACACAUUAGUUAAAAAGAAGAAAUGCCUCCGGCGUCUUUGGGAUGGUCUCGCGAUCUAUCAGCUUGUUGGUGAGGUAACGGCUCACCAAGGCAUCGACGGAUAGCUGGUCUGAGAGGAUGUCCAGCCACAUUGGAACUGAGACACGGUCCAAACUCCUACGGGAGGCAGCAGUAGGGAAUCUUGCACAAUGAGGGAAACCUUGAUGCAGCGACGCCGCGUGCGGGACGAAGGCCCUAGGGUUGUAAACCGCUUUCAGUAGGGACGAAAGUGACGGUACCUACAGAAGAAGCCCCGGCCAACUAUGUG
rnacentral:rRNA from 1 species